AACGAACGCUGGCGGCAGGCUUAACACAUGCAAGUCGAGCGCCCCGCAAGGGGAGCGGCAGACGGGUGAGUAACGCGUGGGAACGUACCUUUUGGUUCGGAACAACUCCGGGAAACUGGAGCUAAUACCGGAUAAGCCCUAACGGGGAAAGAUUUAUCGCCGAAAGAUCGGCCCGCGUCUGAUUAGCUAGUUGGUGAGGUAACGGCUCACCAAGGCGACGAUCAGUAGCUGGUCUGAGAGGAUGAUCAGCCACACUGGGACUGAGACACGGCCCAGACUCCUACGGGAGGCAGCAGUGGGGAAUUUUGGACAAUGGGCGCAAGCCUGAUCCAGCCAUGCCGCGUGAGUGAUGAAGGCCUUAGGGUUGUAAAGCUCUUUUGUCCGGGAAGAUAAUGACUGUACCGGAAGAAUAAGCCCCGGCUAACUUCGUG
rnacentral:rRNA from 1 species